GAUGAACGCUGGCGGCGUGCCUAAUACAUGCAAGUCGAGCGAACGGACGAGAAGCUUGCUUUUCUGAUGUUAGCGGCGGACGGGUGAGUAACACGUGGAUAACCUACCUAUAAGACUGGGAUAACUUCGGGAAACCGGAGCUAAUACCGGAUAAUAUUUUGAACCGCAUGGUUCAAAAGUGAAAGACGGUCUUGCUGUCACUUAUAGAUGGAUCCGCGCUGCAUUAGCUAGUUGGUAAGGUAACGGCUUACCAAGGCAACGAUGCAUAGCCGACCUGAGAGGGUGAUCGGCCACCCUGGAACUGAGACACGGUCCAUACUCCUACGGGAGGCAGCAGUAGGGAACCUUCCGCAGUGGGCGAAAGCCUUACGGAGCAACGCCGCGUGAGUGAUGAAGGUCUUCGGAUCGUAAAACUCUGUUAUUAGGUAAGAACAUAUGUGUAAGUAACUGUGCACAUCUUGACGGUACCUAAUCAGAAAGCCACGGCUAACUACGUG
rnacentral:rRNA from 1 species